AUACGUAGGGUGCAAGCGUUAAUCGGAAUUACUGGGCGUAAAGCGUGCGCAGGCGGUUUUUUAAGACAAUGGUGAAAUCCCCGGGCUCAACCUGGGAACUGCCAUUGUGACUGCAAGGCUGGAGUGCGGCAGAGGGGGAUGGAAUUCCGCGUGGAGCAGUGAAAUGCGUAGAUAUGCGGAGGAACACCGAUGGCGAAGGCAAUCCCCUGGGCCUGCACUGACGCUCAUGCACGAAAGCGUGGGGAGCAAACAGGAUUAGAUACCCUGGUAGUCCACGCCCUAAACGAUGUCAACUGGUUGUUGGGUCUUCAUUGACUCAGUAACGAAGCUAACGCGUGAAGUUGACCGCCUGGGGAGUACGGCCGCAAGGUUGAAACUCAAAUGAAUUGACGGGG
rnacentral:rRNA from 1 species